GGGUGUGUAAUCCAAUCGGUAGAGAUAGAGGACUUAAAAUCCUUCCAGUGUGGGUUCGAGUCCCACCACACCCACCA
rnacentral:tRNA from 1 species